CCGCCCCACCGGGGAGGACAGCUCCGCGGGUACGGGCGCAAACACACCUGGAGAAGGGCGUGGGGCCGGCGCCCUUGAGCUGCAGCUCCCAGCGCUCGCCGGCCGCCGUGCACACCUCGCCCAGGUCUCGCCUCGGGGACUGCGAGGUCCCGGCCUGUCCGGGUCCCGGUCCGCGGGGCUGCGGCUGAUGGCUGGAGCGCGCGGCGGUGACUGGGCCGUCCGGAAUGACCGCCCUGCGCCACAACGGCAGGUCCCUGGCGGUCCGUCCCGGAGGCACCGGCCAGUCCGGGCUGAGCGCUCCGGGCCGGUGGCCGUGACGCGUGACGUCCCCAUGGGACCUCCGGGGUGCCUCCCAACUCCGCGGUGAAGCCAAGGUCAGACCCGGCCCCACGCUUUGCUGAGGUUUGGCCCUGGAUUGUCCUUUGCCCACUGCGCACAGGGAAGGAGGGAAAGAGGACCUUUGUCCAGAUCUGUCCGAAAGUUGGGGGACAUUUUUGGGCCAGGAAGAGCCCCAGGGCGAAGCCAAAGCUGAGAGCCUGCCAACCUUGGGCCAGGCGACUCCCUCGUGCAGGGCCUUUGCUCCUGCUCUUUCCCUGCUCCAAGCAGGGUUCCUCACACGCGGGCUGGAUCCCAGGCCCACCUCUCCUGCCUGCCUCCUGUGUUUUUCCUUGCACUUCUCUCUGAAAUUAGCUCAUUCUCUUAUUUUCCUGUUUCCUGUGUGUCUUUCUUCUCACCCACGCUCUGGAAGGGUGGGAGCCUUGGUGAUCUGGGCACCAGUUCCCCCAGAACAGAGCCUGGCCCAGAGAAACCCCCCAUAGAUGCCCAGGAGGCCUAGGGUGGGCGCAGGGUGGGGAGGGCAAGCCUGGCCUUGAAGGGCCCGACCCCAGGUGAGGAGCUGGGGUCAGUGUUGCAGAAUGACUCAGGGGUUCUGUUCAGAAGAGCCUUGUGGAGGGCCCCCCAGGGGACCCCGCUGAUGCCUGCGUGGCACGGGUGGUCCUUGCAGGGGUUCCCAAGCCCCUGCCCACCUGGACCCAGAGUCACACCCGAGACCGCGGACAAACUCGUGAGCUCACCUGUGGCUGGGGCUGUUCUGUUCCCGCUGCCCCGAUUCCACACCAACUUCAGGGAGACGCCUCGGAACCUCCCCCUGGGGCCCCAGCAUGGCGCCCCAGACCUCGUAUGAACCAGCUCCGGCCCUGCCGGCUCUGUGACCUCGGCGAAGCCCUCACCCACCUCCAGCUCGGGGUCCUCUUGCCUGACGUGAGCAAUGACACUGCCUUCUGUGUGGGGUGGGGGUGUCCCACGGACAACGGGGACAACGUGGUAGGUGCUUGGCACCCUGGAGCCCCCUCCUGCAGCCUCCUUGGCACCCUGGAGCCCCCUCCUGCAGCUUCCCUUCCACCUGGACCCACCUGGGGUCUUCCCCACGUGGUCUGCUGGCAGAGUCCCCUGUUCCCAGCCUCCUUCCUAGCUACCUGGGAGACCUGACCUGAGACUCCCCUCUUCCCCAGGCCCAGGCCCUCCUGCCCCAUCUCCUGGCCGCCUCACCCCACUGUCCUACCCCUACUCUGGAAUCUGGAGGGACUGGGUGUUUGAGGGCCUGUGAGUGCCGGGCUCUGUGCCCUACUGCCUGCCCUGCCUGAGCUCACAGCAGAGGGAACAUCUGGUGGGUUCCAGUGGUUCUGCAGGUCAGUGUGGGAGGGUCAGUGGCCCUCCCAGCCCUGGCAACCUUGCCUCUGCCUCACUCUUGGGCUGCAUGGCCUCGUGGACCUCCCUAGGCCCAUCCGGUACCUGCAGGUGCCGCUGGAGCGCAGGGUCCACGUGGCCCUGAUGCGUGGGAGCUGAGCUUGGCCCCUUCCUGGCCCCUCCCUGCAAAGAAGACUCAGCCGACAGCCAGGCUGCGCCAUCCUUGCAGGGCAGGCCUAGGCCCUGGGGGUGGCAGUGCGAGUGCGCAGCCCGCUAGAGCGCAGGGCCGGUCCACAGUCGUCCGGCGCAUGCCUGAGUUGGCCCCGGUGCGCUCCGGCCUCGGUGUGUUGAGGUUGGCCUGGUCACCAUCGCCGUACCACCAGCUGGCGCGUGAGGGCUCGCGGCUGCAGCUGGCAGAGGUGUGGGCCAUCGGCGCAGGGCGUUCAGCCAUGGGGCGUGUGGUGCAGCAUGCUGAAGCCACAGCCCUCCUGGUUGUGGACACCGCCGGAGCCCUGGAACGUGUACCCUGUACGGUGUGGGCCGUGGCACUGCAGCCCUUCAGCUGCACCCCCGUCCUGGAUCCUGGCCAUCUGGGCCCCCCGGCAGGUGGUCUGGGAGGAACAUCCUUUCCCGGAGAGCUGAGGCUGGCAGAAGUAGGCUGAGAAAUUGGGGACUCUGGGGUCCCAACCUUCUCCCCAGCCCCUAGCCCGGGAAGCAUGUCAGCACACCACGAUGCUUGUGGGCAGGGGGGUGGUACGAAAGCCCCCAGCCCUCCCAGGCACUCACCUGCGGCCCUGAGUACAGGCCGAGAGGUAGAACCAAUAAAACCGGUCUUCCUGGUCCACGCGGAAGCUGUCAUAGCGGGCCCGCAGCGAGUGGUUGCCCAUGUCCCGCAGAUCCACCGUCAGCUCGCUGGCAGGCCCAAGAUGUGUUCCAGCCCCGGCCAGUGGUCACCCAGGCUCAGGCCUGCCCUGUGUUCUCAACAAGGCCCCGGGGCCCUGGCUGCACGGCCUUCCUACCUCCCCAGUCUCCAAAGCCCUCUUUGUACUCCUGCCGGCACCUCUCAAAUUCCAGCAGCCUCUCCCCGCCCGUCUCACCUCUGAAUCACCGUCCAACCACUGUCUGCACGCUUGUCACAGAACCUGGGGUGGGGCGAGGACGUCAGCACCUCCCGUGCUGGCUGGGCCUGGGUGGGUCGGAGGGGCCUGCCCCUCCACGGUCCAGGCGGGAGGGAUGUCGCUCUCCCCUAAGCACUCUUUAUAUGUUUGAGAAAUGAAACCUUGUUGUUUUUCUGCUUGUCAGUGUAAUACAAACUUGCAUUGGAAUACACUAACAUUCUCAGAAAUAGGGUGAAGACUCACAGUAACUCCCCAGGCCUCAGGCUGACGGCUUCAAUUUAAUGGAUGUUAUUUUAUACUUAACUUGUAUCCUGGGCAUCUUUGUUCCCUUGGAAGUAGACUUCUCUUCUCCUUUCCUGACUGUAGCCAGCGCCCAGAGAGCAUCUCUGUUCCAGGUGCAGGUGUCUGAGGAUGGCCUCUGGCCUGGCCCGGCCCUUCCCUCCCAACAGCCCACGGUAACAUCUGUUUUUGCCAAAGUGAUACACAAACUGCAGGCUGCUCUCCUGGAUGGGGCACUGGCUCCUCUGGCUGGCUGGCGUACACACCUCUGGGGCCCUCUGGUUCUCCACCCAGAUCUGAGAGCAGCCUCUCCCUGGGGAAGACUUGGGCCAGGAGGGGUCGGAGUUCUCCGGGUGACCAGACCCAGAGCCCGAGAAGGGCCCGUGGACAGUCCAGCAGGUGACUUACAACCUUGGUCCUGGCAGACGUGCAGCCACUGUCCUCUCGCCUUGGGCCACACCUGCCUCAGGCCUCUUCCCUUCUGGAAGCCGCUGGCCUUCAGGCUCCUAGCACUUGCCGGCCCCCAGCCCUCCGUCAGACCCUCGAUUCCUCCCGCCGCCCCUGGACCCACCUCUCCCUGUGGGUCCAACAUGGCCUUCACCUGCUGCCCUAGGAGGGUCUGCCUUGGCUUCCCCACCUCCCUCGCUCGGCCCAGCUGGCCCCCCCUAACACCAGCCUGGAGGGGGCCUGGUCCUUGCCUGCCCCUCCCCCAGGCUGUUUAGGGCAGGUACCCAGGUGGGUCCUCAAGGGGAGUGAGAAGCCUGCAGGGUGCAGACCUGUGGGUGACAGCUCCGAGGCCACCCAGCCAUUACGCACUGGGCCCCUUCCACUCCCCCACACCCGGCCAGACCCUGGGGUCCCAGCAGGACCGCCUGGACCUGUGGAGAGAAGACCCCGGGCAGAGGGAAGCUCAGUAGCCCCUGGAGCCCCUGGCCCACCAUGGGCCCACCACCCACUCCUACCAGCCUUUGACAGUGUGCCUCAGAGCUGGACCAGGGCAGAGAGGCACAGAAGAGCCCCGAGACCCAGCGCAGGGCAGGCGGCCAUGCUUCCUGGGGGGCAAACACGUGGAGAAGCGCCACCCCGCCGCCUCCUGCCGCGCCCCCGGGGCGGCCCACACGCCUCUCCAUGCCCACUGUCGCCUUUCUGGGCAGAUGUGAGCCGCCGGUCCCCACUGAGUUUUGUUCAAGUCUCUAAGGGACGUGUACACGAGCGUGUGAAUGACAAGGACAUGGCCCAGCCCAAGGCUCCUCGGGCCAGAUUGUGGCCAUGGCUUUCACCUGAUAUAGACACUGAGUCAACACAGACACAACCAAACGUGGCCCUGGGCCCCUGACGGGAUGCACAGAUGCUACGUCGAAAACAGGUGACCAGGACACGACGCAAACAGGUAGUGACCGGGGUCAAGUGCUGUAUGGGGCCAGCUCGACCUUGGGCCCAGCUGCACCCAAUGCGGUUCCUGUGCAAACUGGCGGGCCUGGUGGAUCGCUGCCAGCCAUCCACUGAGGGUCGGGGUGACCCCCAGGUCCCACCACUAGCUGCACAGGAAGCAGGUUCAACUGCCUGCGGGCCAGGCAGGCUCCACCCCGAGAGGGCGGCGGCCCUGCAGCCCCCACGGCUGGAGGUAGACCACGGGGGCAGCUGGACGGGCAGCGGUUGGAGGCCAGCCUGGCUGCCCAUGGCCGAAACUGACCCUUGCCACACCCCUGUCUUCCUGGGACCGAGACUCCAAGAGAAAGAUGUUCUCUUGGUCCCAACCAGAUUUAAGGCUAGUAUUUCCUGACAUUUGCUUCGGUUUGUUUUAAGUUAAAAAUACCUGAGUAGAAAAGUUUCAGACACUUUUAAAAGCCAGAAACGCACAACCUCUGUAGGCACAGCCGUUGCUGGCGCUCACCCGGGGCCGCCAAGGAGCCACGCGAAGGGCUGCACGGGCCAAGCUGCCCUUCCCCGCGUGCUGGCCCGGCACCCCCGCGAAGCGCCGCCUGCGACGCGGAGAGAAGGCACAGUGAGGUAGGGGCUGGCCGGCUGCGGCCCACCGCACCUCACCCCUCCCCCGCCAGCUCAUCCCGGGCCGGUGAACUUCCCAGCGGCCGCAGGGAGGGGGUGGAGGGGGGCUGCUGGGAAGCCCGAGCUCAGACAGUGAAAUAAUUCUUUAUUUGGGCGGGUUGGGAGAGGGCAGGUGAGGCUAGGCCGGACCCCCAUGGGGGGUGGCACCCAGGAGCUCCUCAGGGGGCCGGCCCCCCGUGCCCCUCGGCCGUGUCACAGGAGCAGCCGCGGGCAGCCCCCUGGACGGACGUGGUGGCUCCCUCUGUCCUUCCUACUUGUGCGGCCAGGCCUCGGAGGCCCUCUGCAGGCAGUACUGGGCGGCAGGCAGUGACAAGACCAGGCUGCUGGCACGGCGCCCCAUCCAGUACAGGCCGUAGCCCAGGAGGCCCAGGAAGGCGGCCUUCGCGGCCAGCCAGGACACUCUGCCGCAGACGGACGGCGGGGGGACGCUGGGGAAGGGAGGGCGGGCUGGGCCUGGCUGGGGAUGCACGAUCCCCCAGCCCCCAGCCCGGCUCCACGUGGGUGGGGUGGGGCGGGACGGAGGGCUGGGUGGGCGGCACUCACGUCAUUAUCUCCUGGAUGUUGAGGUCGGUGGUCCAGUUCUUCUCGAUGCCGGGGACGUGGCCCAUGCCCACGACGCCCACCACCACGGAGGGGACGCACUUCCUGGGCUCGGCUGCAGGGGAGAGAGACGCAUCAGCACCGCCCACCCGACUGGCCCUGGCGGGUCCCCAGCGACUACCCCGCAGCCCAUCCUCACCGUCAGAGGCACGGGGCAGCUCCAGGCGCCGGGCCGCCUGCCUCAGCAUGUAGGUCAGAUAGAUGUCCCGCUCAGACACGAUGGUGCGGUGCAGGUCGGGGAACUCGCCGAUCAUCUCGGCCAUCAUCUGCUCCAGCAGGUCCUUCUGCUUGCACCGCUCCACGUCAUCCUUGCUGGGGGAGAAGGGCGUGCUGCCAGCCCGAGGGACGGCUGACCCAGGGCGGGGACCUUGCACCUUCUGUCUGGGAUCCUGGCAGGAGGAAGGGCUGGGGAGGCCCUUUGAGAGGAGGCUCCGCCCGAGAAUGAGAGGCGUGUGCCGUGUGGCGGUCUGGGCCAGGCCAGGUGUGGACCAAGUGCUCUGUGGGUAUCUCAGGCCACUGGUCACCAUUCCCGGGCCGGGAGGCCGAGGGGCCCUACCUGAUAGGGUCCGACAGGAAACACAGGCCCCAGGCCAGCUUGAUCUUCUGCCAGAAAGAGAGGGCGGCGAUGGCCCUCUUGAAGGUGACGGGGAUAGGCCGGUCGCCCAGGUGGAACUUGCAGAAAGGCACCUUGCUGGCCUGGGCAGAGGCUGGGUGUUGGCGGGGGAGCCUCAGGCCCCGGACAGCUCCCAAGCGCCGAGCCCCCUCCGCCCCCCGGCCGGGCCCGGGCCCACCUCCUUGAAAGCCUCCCUGAACUCGCCGCCAGGGGCCAUGCCCAGCUGCUCAGUGAUGUGGGCGGACACCUUCAGCAGCAGCAUCUGCAUGAGUCCCGACAUGACCCCGUUCUGCAGGGAGAGGCCCGGUCAGCCGGCGCGCGGCAGAGCAUGAGGUGCCUGCGGCCCUGCGGGAGGCCUGCCCUGUGCUCUGGGGAGGAGCGAGGGCCACGCUGACGUCCAGCAGGGCCUCAUGGUGGGCGCCUCACCCACGGUGCACGCUCAGAGGCCCCUCCCGGCCCUUCAGACGACCUUCCCAGAGCAGGCCCACCGCAGGCCGUGCAGUCUCAGACCGGCUGCCUGGCCUCUGCCCCACGGGUGCCCCCUUUCCCCCCUCACCCCUCCAGGCCAGACCCCCAGCUCCUCUGCCCACAUCCCCCUUGGGGCACCUGUCAGUGUGAGUGGACUUGGGUCCUGGGUCCAGAGCCCCUGCGCGAGGCACAGUGGGGUCGCAGCUCUGGGCCACAUGACACGCUGAGGCCCCACCCCCGCCCCUGGUGACCUGCCAGCACACUCCGGGGCCCUCAGGGUCCCUGACCAGCUCCUGCCUUGGGGUUGGGGCCUCAGCCGCCUCUCCUCACUGUCCCUCGGGCCAGGGUCCCCACGGGGCGGGCACGCGCACCUGCCUGACGGCCUGCUGCAGCUUCUCCAGGCUGAUCUCCUUGGCCUCACGCAGCAGUGUGCGCUCGUCCAUCUUCAGCAUGGACACGCGGUACUGGCACAGCUCGACCACCACCACGUCGGGCUGCACCUCCCGGAUGGUCUGCGACGGACAUGCCAGCUCACCGCGGGCCCCACGGGCAGAGCCACGCCGGACCCGGAGGCCCACCCCCAGGUCGACCCCACCGCCGCUCAGCCGCCGUGGAGACAGCUCGGUGCCGGAAGUAACUACGGCGGGAGGGACGGCCCGGGUCUGCGUGUCCUGCCGCAGCAUUAGUGGCGGCUCACGGGCCUCACCUUUGCCACGUCUUUCUUGCUGUCGUCGCUGAAGUGGGCCGUGCCCACCACGUACACGCGGCUCCCGUCCUCGGCCACCAGCUCGGUCACCGUGCGCGGCAGGUUGGGCCGCUCUUGCCGCCUCUUCAGCUUCAUCUCCAGGAGCAGGUGGAAAGCGUCCACGUCGGCUGCAGGGACAGCAAGGCCUGGCUUGGGGCCAUCCUCCCACACGGGCAGCCUGGGCCUCCGGGGCGCAGGGACGGGGGUGCGUGCUGCCCCGCGGAACGCGGACGCACGUGGGGGCCUCUCCGGGCCUCGAGCCACUGGUACUUGCUCACCAGGACGUGCGGCCAGGCCCCACGCCAAGGGGAGCCCCCAGGCCGCCGAGGGGCCCAGGACGGGGUGGGGCUGUGCAGGGCACCCGGCCUCCGCACCUGAGGAGGGGGCUCCUGCCACAGCCCUGCUCGCGCUCAAGAAGCCCCCCUGCCACCCCCCCAGGGUGGGCCGGGGCCCCUGGUCCACCACAGGCUCUGGAGAUCACCCAGCCCAAGCCCCUCCCGCCCGGCACGGUGACCCAGGGAGCACGCACACAGGUUCUGGGGCUCUCCGGGGAGCACCCUGGGCACCACCUCCGAACCCCCUGAAGUCACGAUGGGCUCUGUGCUGGCCUGCGGAGGGAAGGGGAGCGUUCGAGUGGCGGUGCUCGCCUCUCCGGGGCCUGCCGGGACUCGUGCGGCUGCCCCACCAAGCCCCAGAGCCUGUCGGCUGUGUCCCCCAGACAAUCCCCUCACAGGCGGCCCGCCCUCAGGGCGCCCUGCCCCGGGCCCUCAGCUGACUAGCAACAUCCCAGGAAGACCAGUGAGGGGCUUCUCUGCACAGAGGCCAGAGGGACCCCAGGGAGCCUCACGGGGGGAGCCCCACUCUCCACGGGGCCGCCCCGGCCCCCGCCCCCGCCCUCUGGCCCCCCGGCCCAGGGCUCUGACCUCACGAAGGGGCUGUUUGUCCUGCCCCUCCAUGGCGGGCGGUGGCUCCCGGCACCGACGAGUGAAGCCUGAGGAAACACAGGAGCCGCGUCCUCACCUGGAGCCCCGGGGCCGGGCACGGGGGUCAGUGCCCCGUGGUGCUGCGUCCAUCGGGAAUGAUCCGUGGGCAGGACCUCGGCCCCGGGCACAGGUGAUCUCGGGAUCUGCGGUGCGGGGCUGAGAGCAGGCUGGGGACACCCGGGCGGCGAGCCUGAGUCGCCCGAGAGCAGGACGUGCCGCCCGGCCCCCCGCUCGCCCAGCAGGGGGUUACCCCCGGGGGCAGCCGGCCAGACCUGGGGGCCUCCUGUUUGACUUUGGAAUACAACACAAUUUAUAAAAUUCCCUAAAAGGACAAAACCAGGCGGCAGAAGGGAACCUGUGUGCUGGGCUGGCGCGGAAGGCGGUGCGGCUGCAGCCUCGCUUUCAGGAGCCACAUGUGGCGACAAUACGUGUCACCAGCAGCAUCACACAGGCGUCGGCACAGACUCAGGAGGGGCAGGGGGAGGGAUGGCGAACAGCACAGGUGUGCCGUCGUCACUGAGAACCGAGACUUCUUCUGGUUGGAGAAAAGAGGCACAAACUCGAAGAAGCUGAGCUAGGAGCCGAGCCCCCGAGGUCACGUGGGAGCCGCUUGUGCUGUCCCUUCCGGAGGGGAGACGGGGUGCAGGAGCCCAGCAAGGCUGUUCUCAGCAGAGGGAAGAUCCCUGCUGGGCCUGGGACACGGUGUCCUGGACAUCCGCCACACGGACUUCACCCGAACCUCCCAAGGUCCUGCCGGAAACUCAAACCAGAGUCUGACAGAGCCUCCGGUUCCAGCUCUGAGUUUAGAGCCGGGGUCUGGCCGCCAAAGGACAGGGGGCUUGGCACCCGCGGGAGAACCUGACAGAUGACUGGAGGCCGUCCCGUGAGGAACGAGUCUAAUUUGGUUUCAGUCGUGGGCGCCGUAUCGUGGGCUUUUAGAGUCCGUGUCUGUCACACGUGAACCGACGGGACGUGCCGGGAGGCCCCAUGCGGGCAGUGGGACACCCCCGGGGCGCCUGUCAGUUUCACUGUGGCACUUUCACAACAAAGAGGAAAAACAAAAAAUAAAUAAACACGACGCUA